CUCAACCGACUGAGCCACCCAGGCGUCGCCCCCCGCUUAUCUACUUUUAAGUGGAGGCAGUCAGACAUACCUUUCUCCGAAUUUUAUCUUGAAGACAAGGUGAAUACAUGCAGACAGUUAAGCAAAUAUGACCGUACUAUAUUUGUAAUAGAUCUGUAGGUUUCCCCCGACCAGUCCUAGGCAGAAGAGGGAGGUAGAACAUCCCAGGGCAAAUCGGUUCUGCUCUAUGCCAGAAUGCUCUUUCCCCUCCCAAUAAAAAGGAUCCCUGAGAUGGUUAGGACUGCUUGGUCCAGGCAUUACAUCCAAUUCAGUACGCUUUCAGUUAGACUCUAGGUUAACCAUAAUAAAUUUCAGGUACGAGGAAAUAAUCUUGCACAGCGUUGCUGAGACGACUCAGAUGCCUGUCUCCCUGUGGAUGUUGGGCUCGCUUUUACUGACCAUAGGUCCAGUGUAGUGUCUGGAACACCAGCAGAGGAUCCCCUCAGGGUCUUGUUAAAGGUUCAGACAGUUGUUCUGGCUCCACUCCAGACCAACUGAAUAAAAAUCUCUGAUGCUCGAGGCCCAGGCCUCUGCAUUUUUACACACACUAGACUUUGGGACCUACUCAAGAUUUGGAGGCCCUUAUCUGGAAACCCAGGAGCAGGAGAUCUGACUGCCACCUUCUGUUCCUGCUCGAACACUGUGUGGUUCUGAGCAGAAUCUCAUUUUCUUAGGUUGGUAUUUUCCAGCCACAUUCCUACAGCAUUACUGGUCACAACACAGACAACCGCCAAUUCAUCAGGAUUUAACAAGCAUGUAACUAUUACUCCAUCCCAAUCUAUUUUGAAGGUUACAUCUUUCCUAACCUUGGUGGUCAACGGCUGCAACAGUCACAUUGGUAUUGGAACAUAUGACUUGCUUUCUCAAGAAAACAUUUAAUAUUUACUCAAUCCCCUUGCCAUGACUCUGCAGGAAAACCUCAACACAACAGGGAUGAUCUAUCUCCUUUUCACGAACGUGAAAGUCACUUUUUGUGGACCAGUCACUCUCACCUAAUUUCCUGAAGUUUCUAAAGAUGAAUUGGAUUUCAGCUCUUAGACACUUUGAGCACCUGACAUAAGGUAACUCUCCAGGAGUUACAACAGUGAUGUAGGAAAUAAUGCCAGCCAGUGUUUCAAAACCCUUAUUGUCAUGGCUGGUCUGUGUGACCACGUUAGUUUGGCUAAAUGCCAACUAAUGAAGAUGAGGACACAGCGUUGAUCUUGUGUAUGCCAGAUGAGUUCAAUCCCUUUCUUUCAUGGACUACUCAUCUUGAAAAUGUCAACCAAAGAAUCUGAGUAACAGUGUGAGGAGCAGUUGCUAGUGAAAUAACCCUAGGUCUGGUGUUCUUUGAUGUCGAGUCAGAAGGUUCUUCUUUAGGCACUGAAGAUACAAGUAGUAUACAUGGCCAUGAAUACCCUCAGACAGAACCUCUUUUACAUUGUUUUGCAAUAUAAUUUGUUCAUUACAACCCAAAACUCCUUUAAUUCCAUUAUUUCCCCAGAAGUAAACUUUUCUAGAAUAAAACUGGUGUUUUUAUGUGGUUACUUACUGGGUCACCUGCAGGCUAGCCACUCCGUUGCACCUGGAUCAAUGUGUCUCCCAUAACUACUUCCUCCCGUUCUAGAAUAUAACAUCUCCCUUUGUGGAUCACCCCUGAACUCUGUCUCCCUCUCUCUCCCGUCUCCACAUCCUGGAGUCCAAGACAGGAGAUCGCAACAUAGAGAAGGCUGCAGAGAGUGUCCCCAUCACCUGUGCUUUACCAAGGACCCAGUGACCAAACCAGGGAUAACUGGAUACGCAAAGACUGGCAAGCAGACUGCCAAACAGAGACAAAGUCCUGGGGGACGGCGGAAGGAAGUGGCCCCGGAGAUGCCCUGAGAAUGGAAGGUCAUCUAAGACAGUGCUGCUCUCUCUGCUCUGGUUUGUACUGGAGCAACACCCAGAAUUCCUAACAUCACCACAGAUUAAUACCACCCCCCACACCCAGAUCCAUAACCACCCGCCCAACCCCAGAUUCAGCCUCCGGGUAUGGGCUUUGUAAGAAAGAUACUGGCCAAGUAACCAAUUCUAAUUUCAACUUGACAUCACACUAUUGAUGAUAGUAAGUUUACACAAGUGCACCAUGUUCUACCAAGCCAACAUCACAGAUCCCAGUUCCUAUAAAAGACAUUUCAGUUCCGUUUAUUGAAUAUGUGUUCCUAUGAAACAUGAGUUGAUUUUUUUUAAGUUGAUAAACUUUUUAAGAAAUACAUCCAUAUCCUAUUGCUGAAUCACCAAUGAACCAACAUUAAAUUUCUCAAUUUAUUUCUUCUCAAGAAGCUGCUGGCCCCACUGUUUAAUGGGUUCAUCUCUGGUGUCCCUACAGUACCUUGCAAACUGGCUUGAUGCAGACCUGAGUGCAGACAGAGCUCCCAGAAAGAAGUCUGCGUGGUUUCCUAAGAGGUCUGCAGUCCCCUGGCCCUGUGCCAGGAGGGACUCCCACCACCCAGUGCUCAGACCUCAGACCUCUCUAGGAGGAGACCUGGACGCACAUCCACACUCCCCUGCACACGGGAUGUACCAAACCAGCAGAAGGAGAGCUUCUGCCCCAGCGAGCCCUUUGGUUUCCUGCAGCAGAGACAGAUCAUGUCGGGAGCAGCAAAGGGAAGGGGAGGCAGAGCAUGUGCUCAGCGGUGAGGCCUUCAUGAGCGAGGGGCAGGCAGAGAAGGCCCGUGCUCCUCAGCACACCACAAAGGAAAGCUAGAGCCAUCGCCCAGGUAUGCUCUGCAUGUGCAAUAAACCACGCUCACCUCAAACCCCACAUUAUAGUUUCCACUGAAACGGAGGCUCACCCAACAGUCACGUCUCACAUCACAUUGGUGACACAGCCUUGAGAAGGUGGUUACCCAUCCUGCUUCCACUCAUGCACAGAACUGUGUUUGAUGUUAGCACUUGCGUGUGCUUUUGGAUUGGGCUUCUGGAUAUGCAUGGUGGCAGCUCUUAAAAGUCAGCUCUGCUUUUACCUGAGCCUCCAACAAAUCAUAAACCCUUGGCUAGGUCAAAUGGCCUAAACUUCCCACCAUCCUAUCUGCUCACGUUACAAAGGAAGGGCAGACAAGAACUCUACUCUGUAUGGCUGGAAUCCUGAUGGCAAGGAGCCUCCUAAGUCUCAUAGGGACAGAUGUCCUGUGAAAAAUAAAUGAGGUUUAUAAAAAUUA